AUUCUACUCUCCUCAAAUGGAUAAGAAAUCCUAUCCAGCCUGUCCUGCCUGGGAAAUGGCCACGGAAGAGAGAUAAGCAAAAACCACAGGUCCUGUUUGUCCCUGGAAGUGUCUGCUCUGUUGGUUGGAGGGAGGGAUGGACCGUUUUUCAUGGCCUCCGUCUAUGCCACACCCGGCUUGUGGUUAGAUGGAAGACUCCAGUCUCCGGAGCUGUCAAUCCAUCGCUUUUUAAUGGCAUCAGAUUUGCUUUUAAAAAUUCAUGCUGUGGGCUUUGAGGAAAUAAUUGUAGCGACUUUGUUAAAGGUUGUAUUCGAUAUAUUCUUUCUAAUGGACAGCCUGAUGCUUGGGUAUUUUAUCUUUUGUGAUAGUACAUUUUGAGGGAGGAAAAAAAAAAAGAAUGCAAGCCAGAGUGAUUUGCUAUCUACUUUUUUUGUUUUUUAAAACUUCACUCACUGGCUGCUGUCUCUGUCCAAUUGUUCCUGAGACUUUUACGGGAGGGAAAAUUUUUGCCUUUCCUAUGCUUGACUGAAAAAAUGUGUUAAGUGAUGUUUUAAAUCAGCCAUUCCUCAAAUCAAAGAACAAUCAACGUUAGAGUAUAUCAUGGAUUAUUAUACAUGCAAUUUGCGUAAAAGUUUGAAAGAGUUGGUGCAGCGGCACCAGAGUGCCGCCUGGAACCAUCACAUGCGGUUGAUGGCUGCAAUGAACAUUGGUGCUCAGAACUUCUGUUAGCUAAUUAUGCUUAACAAAAAACAAAGCAUAGCCACCCAAAGGAGCGGACCCCCAAUCCAAUCACCAUCAUUGGAUAAGACGGACACUUAACACAAAACUGCUAGUAUAGCAAUUCGAACAAAAACUCUUGUGUUUUUGAGAGUAAAGUCCUAAGUUUUAGUAUUUUGAUGUUUUCCGGGCUGUUCUCUGAGAACACAAAUGACAGUGUGGGCUGUGCAGAGACUCAGGGCACAAGGGUUGCUCAGUGCUUAGAUGCCCAGGAUCCAAGCCAGCCACACUCAGCAGCCUCCACCCACAGCUGCCCCAGGGAGUCUGCUUCAUUUACUGGACUUCUGCACAAAGUUUGUGUGAGAAAGGGAAUUGAUCGCCAGAGGGGUCACUGUUGAGCAUUCUCUAGGACAGAGGCUCUCCAUCUUCCUAAUGUCAGGACCCUUUGAUACAGUUCCUCACCUGGUGGUGACCCCCACCGUAACAUUGUUUCCUUGCUACUUCAUAACAGUAAUUUUGCUAAUACUGUGAAUCAUAAUGCAAAUAUCUGAUAUUCAGUAUAUCUGUUAUGGGGCCCCUGUUCAUUUCCCAAGGGGUCAUGACCCACAGGCUGAGAACUGUUGCUCUAGGGGAAAAGGUUUAAAAGACCUUUAUCAUCAUCAUCAUCACCACCAACACCAUCAUCAUCAUCAUCACCAUUUUAUGCAUGUUGUCCCAACACCUGUGUGGAUGUCAGAGGACAAGUUUGUGGCGUUGGUUCUCUCCUCCUCCUUACUCUGGGCUCUGGGGAUUGACUUCAAGUCACCUGGUUUGAGUGGCCAGCAUCUUUACUCCCUGAUCAAAACUGCCCACCCUAAGAUACAUAUUUUAUUUUAUGUAUUAGAUAAUAAUUUAUAUACUUUUAUUGUGUAUAAUAUAGUAAAUAUUGUUAAGAUAAUACAAGAGAUUUACAAUCAAGAGAAAUUAUUUUACUCACCUAGAGGAAAGGUAAAAAUCAUAAUGCUUUAUUACUACUCAUGUCUGAUAGUCUGUGGAGCCUGCCUGCCCUCCCUGCCUCCCUGCCUCCCUGCCUCCGUCUCCCUCCCUCCCUCUCUCCCUUCUUCUCUCUCUCCCUCCUUCCUCCCUUUCCCCUCUCUCUCUUUUCUGACACAUAUUUAUCACAAACAAGACUCUUACAUUUUUGGGGGGGUAUUUUCUUUCUUUUUUUCUUUUUUUUUUAUGAGACAGGGUUUCUCUGUAUUGUUUUGGAGGCUAUCGGUCCAGCCCGGCCUCGAACUCAAAGAGAUCCAUCUGCCUCUGCCUCCCGAGUGCUGGGUUUAAAGGCGUGCGCCACCACCGCCCGGCCAGGUAUUUUCUAUUCUUGGAAAAUCCUGAAUAUAAAUUCUUCUCCUCUCAGUGCUGAGACCCCACCUGGUUUGGGCUUGUACAGACUCUGUGUGUGCUGGCCCAGUUUCUCUGAGUUUAUAUCACCUGAACCCUAAUGUGUCUAGAAGGCCUUUUUUCCUUGGCGUCUCCCAUCCCUUCUGGCUCUUAUGAUCUUUCUCCCCUCUCUUCCACAAAGUUCUCUGAACACUGAAGGGAGAGAUUUGAUGGAGACAUCACAUUUAAAAUUGGGUGUUGCAAGGUCUCUCGCUCUCAGCACUCUGACCCGCUGUGGACCUAUGUGUUUGUUUCUAUCUGCUGCAAGAGGAGGCGUCUCCAAUGAUGACUGAGCGAGACGCUGAUCCUUUACCCAAAAGUCUGAAACACAAGGAGGAACCAACUUGUCCAGAUGGGGGGAACAUAGUCACCCAGAGAGACUGGCACUUCAAAGGCAUGACCAGGAAAAGCUGCCAUGAGGAGCAUGUAUGUGACUCCAGUUUGGCAUACCUAUGGGCUCUUGGGGCGCUGGCCUCAUUAUUCUCUCAACUCUCCCACUCUUCAUUAAUGUCCCAGGGCAUCCAUUUUAAAAUAAAGCUGGAUAUACUUAAAGUA